rnacentral:rRNA from 1 species
AUGGAAGUGACUAGUAUACAAAACUAUACAUCAUGGUACGCAGAUAUAGUUAAUUAUCUAGUCUGUAACAAAGUUCCUACAGAUUUUUGGUAUCAAAAGAAGAAGAAAUUCUUAUCAGAUAUGAAGCACUUCUUUUGGGAUGAACCUUACUUAUUCAAACAUUGUGCUGAUGGUAUUGUUCGAAGAUGCUUGCCGGAAGGUGAAACAAAAAGUGUGAUCUAUCAUUGCCAUUCAUCCCCUUAUGGAGGUCAUGCAAGUACUAGGAAACUCAAGCGAAAAUUUUGCAAGCGGGAUUUUACUGGCCAACUUUAUUCAAGGAUGUACAUUCCUAUAUUGAAGCUUGGGAUCCUUGUCAGAGAACUGGAAAGAUUUCAAAAGGGCAAGAGAUGCCUCAAAAAGGAAUUCUUGAAGUAG